UCUGAAACCACUCUCUCAAACUGCAGAGCUCUUGGCUGCCCAGACAACCUGUGGCAAAAUCUCCCUUCAUUGCUGAUGGAGUUUGAGGUUCUGCUGGACUCUGGCUAUAGUGGCCUGACCAUUAGUCAAGAAAUAGUCGUGGCCUCUUGUGCUCCCUGGGUGACUCAUGGUAGAGGAGGGUAUUAGUAGGAUGGCUGUCUACACCAGCAAUUCUUACAGCAGGUCAUGGUGGAGUUCACAGGGGUGUGUACAUGUGAGAAAGAAAAGGUCUGCCUCACUCCCUGCCGUCCAACUUCCUCUAGGAAUAACAUGCUCACAACACAACUUCCUCCACUCCUCGGGUGACCGCUACUAUUCAAUUACUGCUGAGACUAGCACCAUGUAUCAAGUGAUUGACAUGGGCUAGGCGCAUUUCUUGUCUUAUUCAACUCCCAUAACAAUCUCCAGAGAACAGGGUACCAUUUCCAGAUGAGGAAAUAGAGGCUUUUAGAGGUUAAGUAAUAUGCCAAAGACCACGUAGAGUUGGUAUUCAAACUUACGCAAUCUGAGUAGGCAUCCUGUUUCUAUUUCUUUUACAAAUAAAUUCGAGUUGAGUUUCUGUCACAACCAAAAGAGUGUCAUUCAAUACAGAAAAUUAAUGUGAUGGGCAAACCAUGAAACCACAAAGCCAAAAGCAUGUUCUUCUUAAAUCAGCCAGGCACAGAAAGACAAGCAUCAUAUGUUCUCACUCAUAUGUGGGAACUAAAAAAGUGGAUCUAAUGAAGACAGAGAAUAGAUUGGUUGUUACCAGAGGCCAGGAAAGCUAGGGGAAGAAGGAAGGAGGAGA